AUUGUGUCUCCGGCUACUCGAAAAAUCCGCAGCGCUCGAGCCCGGGCACGUGCCCAGGUGGCCGGACGGUGAAAUCGCCCCUGCAGACGGGGUCGGCCCCGCGGCGCCGACGCGGGGCGACGUGUACCUGGGGCGGCAGCUCACGGCCAUGGCCGCGGCGGGCGCCCGCAUGCGUGCGCCGGAGGAGGACGCCGAGAGGCGCCGCCGCCGCAAGGAGAAGCGAAGGGCCCUGGCCAAGAAGACGCCCUCCGGCAUCGCCUGCUGCUAUGGCUGCGGCCAUGUCGAGCCCGCCACCUGCGACCUGUUUGCUGGUGGGCAGAAGCAUAGACAACAGGAAGAACAGAGACGCAGCAUCUUCACUUCUUUCCUUGCAGAUUCCUGUUAAGGAAGCAAAGGUUGAGGCCUGGGAUCUACUCUAGAUGCUGUCGAGUUGCGAGCAUAUUUUGGGUAAGCAGCAGCAGAAUAGCAGAUUCAGCAGAAUAGCAUAUUUUCUUGAGUUACUCGAUGAAAUUCACAGGAGAGAGAGAGAGACAGACCACGAUCAACCACAACAAUGACACUGUUCACAGAAAUCUUGGAUUCAUAAAUGGGAGAAGCACAUAAGGGAGACGAAGAUGAUUGCAAGGAUGGAGAGGGAGCAAAUCAUUUGGAGGAUAGAAUGCCACUGUUUGGUGUUUUUAUGCAUUUUUGUUUCCUUCAACUGUGUUUGCACUAGCUGGGAAUAAGUGACUAGGCAAUAAGUGUAGAUGUAUGGAUAUGCUCUAAUGCUUCUGGUUUACUAUAAAUCUUCGAUUUGGAAUAAUGUGUAAUGCUGCUGGUUUAUUACA